rnacentral:rRNA from 1 species
GAUGAACGCUGGCGGCGUGCCUAAUACAUGCAAGUCGAGCGAACAGACGAGGAGCUUGCUCCUCUGACGUUAGCGGCGGACGGGUGAGUAACACGUGGAUAACCUACCUAUAAGACUGGGAUAACUUCGGGAAACCGGAGCUAAUACCGGAUAAUAUAUUGAACCGUAUGGUUCAAUAGUGAAAGACGGUUUUGCUGUCACUUAUAGAUGGUUCCGCGCCGCAUUAGCUAGUUGGUAAGGUAACGGCUUACCAAGGCAACGAUGCGUAGCCGACCUGAGAGGGUGAUCGGCCACGCUGGAACUGAGACACGGUCCGGACUCCUACGGGAGGCAGCAGUAGGGAAUCUUCCGCAAUGGGCGAAAGCCUGACGGAGCAACGCCGCGUGAGUGAUGAAGGUCUUCGGAUCGUAAAACUCUGUUAUUAGGGAAGAACAAAUGUGUAAGUAACUAUGCACGUCUUGACGGUACCUAAUCAGAAAGCCACGGCUAACUACGUG